UGGUAUGGUGCCAGGAGUUCCCAAUAAUUGUUGACAGACAACAAAGUGAGAGCAAAGAAAGAGCAGAGGUUAAAACUGAGGCAGAGGGUGCGAGGAGAAACACAAAAGUUCCAGAGGAGAGGAGUCCUCCGGACAGGAAGAGAGUGGCCCCAAGGCAGAGCAGGGCCUCACGAUUUCAGCAGGAAGAAUUGGUGACAGUGCCAAACACUGCCUGGGGUCCAGGAAGGGCUCAAGGCCCAGAAGAUUCCUGCUGUGCUGGAAGAGGGCAGGGCUGUUCCAAGGGUUGGGGCCUCAGAAAAGACCUCUCUGAAGAAGUGACAUGGGACCUGAAAGAAGAGAUGUGGGCAGCAUUCCAGCGCCUGCCCAGGCCCCGCGUUCACUCAGGGACUGUGCUCCUCGGAGAAGAUGGCGCCGGAAGGCUGGCUCUUCAGGAGACAAGACGUGUGACCAUUAACCACCAUGCAAGUCCUGGGCAUUUUGAAACAUGCUGUUUCUUCAUUCUCGGAUACCCAGCAAAGGAGCUCCUUCAAAUAAUUAACCAAGUAGUUAUAAUAGUAAUGCUCACCAUUUGUUACGCUUGUGCUAAGUACAUUGCCAUUUAUCAUCUUAUUUUAUC